CAGAUCUUCGUCUUACCCCAUGACCCAGAAUCAGAGCUCCAUUCCACAGACCCAAAUCCGAUUCACCAUCCAAGCUUCUACCAAGAACUAACUAUUGGCAACGUGGGGUCAUCGGAAAAUUGGAAUUGAAGCAUCAAAUUGCUUUGAAAAAAGGGUUAUGUUAAGGAUCGAUGGCGGCGAUUCGAGGGUUUGCCGAAAAUGAGGGAAAGUGUGG
rnacentral:misc_RNA from 1 species